ACAAGUAAGAAUUAAAUGUGAAGGAGAAAUGGGUAAUUUUAUUUAAAUGUACAUUGUGCUUCUUUUCUAAUGCAAUUAUGUGUCAGAACCUAUUAAUUAGAUGCCUAUAGCACAGAGGAGAAUUGGUUUAGCACAGAGGAAAAUUCCAUUGGUUUGAUACAUAUGGCAUAGUUUUGCUGUCAAUCAUUCUGGUGGCAGUAACUAGGUCACAGUGGAAAUUCCGCUAUGCCUGAACCCAGUAACCAAAUGCUACAGUAGUGGAAAAUUACAGUUUAGAAAAAAGUUCCCGCCAACCUUAUGCAAACACGCACACCACCAUUGGCCAGUUCCAAAUUAUUCAUAUUUGGCGACUAGCGAUUGGCUUGCUAGCCAUAUAAAAGUUAAGAGCAGUUUCCGCCCAAGUUGGAGAACUUUAAGUACGUGAGAGAGUGAGAACUCUGUAUACAUCUCGGAGACCUCAGAGAACACCUCAGAGGCAACUUGGAGGACGGAUCACCCGACAAGAACUCCCCGUCACCAACCCAAAUUUAGACGUAAACCAACGACUGCCGGCCCGUACACCUCUGCAGACCGACCUAACGAAUCCUGUACCUGUUACAACUGUAAUCUAAGUCAGCUUUCGUCCUGCACUGUAACCAUCAGCAGUACUUUGAUAACCAACUAUCAAGAAGGAAUGCUUUGAAGCUAUACAAUUAAAACAGAAUAAAAAGCAAGACAGAACUGCCAGCAAGGCGUGCAAUCCAGGGAAGAUCAAGAAGCCAUCCUGCAUCCAGCCCAUGAGUAAAGGACCCACACUCUGGGAAGCUGUACAAGAACUGCUUCCUGCCUGCUUGGGUAUUUCGUUACAGCCGCCACGCACAACAGUUGGAAGAAAAUGGAAUUGUUAAGCACACAAUGGCACGCCCAGGAGAGCGGGGCUCAAGAAUGAGUGAAAAUGGAAACAGAAUAAAAAUGGACUAG